rnacentral:rRNA from 1 species
CCACGCCGUAAACGAUGAAUACUAGGUGUAGGGGUUGUCAUGACCUCUGUGCCGCCGCAAACGCAUUAAGUAUUCCGCCUGGGGAGUACGGUCGCAAGAUUAAAACUCAAAGGAAUUGACGGGGGCCCGCACAAGCAGCGGAGCAUGUGGUUUAAUUCGAAGCAACGCGAAGAACCUUACCUAGACUUGACAUCUCCUGCAUUACUCUUAAUCGAGGAAGUUCCUUCGGGGACAGGAUGACAGGUGGUGCAUGGUUGU